CAGCCAUGAGGUGAGCACAGAGCGAACUAUUCUUUCGCCUUUUACUAAAGAAUACCGUGUGCUCUCCUCUCUUAAGUGGCAUAUGUAACGAUCAAAUGCUCUUUGUUUAGAUACUGGAAA
rfam:Brassica napus, WGS project CCCW01000000 data, contig: 16720